UUUCCUUCUGCUUUUUUUCCCCUCUCAGUGACUGCCCCGCUGGCACAGCAAGAAAGCCCUGGAAAAUACCCGUUUAUGGCUGUUUAAAACACAGCUUGUGGACUCAGGCUCUUCCCUGAACAUAAGUAAAUUGUUAACAUGAACAAUAGGAAGCUAUUCAGAAUCGUGGAAAGUCUGUUGAAGCUAGUUUGCCGAAAGUUUCUGAGGAGGAAAAGGGUAAUAUUUGGAGGGAAGACAUAGAGAUACAGGAACGGUGGAGUUUCUUCCUUUUGAAAGCAGCUUGAAAAGUAUCAAGAUUCUGGCCAUCUUGGACCUAAGAGAAUGACUGGGAACAUCUUUACCUGAACUUUAAUGUUCUGCACAUCCUGAGGUUGGAGUUGAGCUGGACACAGGGGAAGGAAUAGACUCUGCAAGCUGAAACUCAAUUAGGGAUGCACGGACCAUAUUGAAAGAGAUCUAUCUGGGUCUCUUAUCAAAAGCUUUGAUGAUACUGCUAGUUUCUCAGUGGCUUAACAGCUUUUAAUAACUGAGCUGUACUUGAGGGCUGCUGACCUUCUCGGAAAAACUGUCCCACUCUUCAGGAGUCUGACAGAGAACUGAAAAAAAUACGGCCACAGAAUCAGUGGCCAAACAUGAAAAUCUGGGUCCGCAUCCAAUUUGGUCUGUAUACACUUGCUUAAGUAACUGCCAGUAUAAUCUGAUGCCUGUAAAUGGAGUAAUGAAAGAGGGUAUCUUCUGCCUCUAAGUCACAUAACCCUUGGACAUGUCCUUCGCUGUGCAGCACACGAGAGGCUGGUGUAAUAGUAUCUGUGCAACGAGGAGGCAGCUGGAAUGCCUACGGGUCUGGCAUCUGCUCAGCUGCCUGACAGAGAGCUUUCAGAGUGAUCUGGGAGGUGUCCUGCCCCAAAUCUCUCUGUUCUAAAGCGAUCACUUGGUAUAGCUGAAAGACUCAUGUUGCUGCUGCCAUGAGAACCAUCCUGUGGGAAGCCCAGGCUGAAGAGCCAGCACCGUUACCUGCAGUGCAACACAGUCUGCACAGGAUGCACAGGAAACGUCUGGCAUCUGUUCCUGUUCAGACUCAUGUAAAGAAAUUAGAGCUUUAAAGCUCCUCAAAUUCCCUCCUCCAAAAGAUAAUCACACCGUGUAGGUCCCCGGCAAGGACUUUGUGCGGACAGGCAUCAGGGCACUUUGCCUGUACAGACAGCCAGGAGAGACUCUUAUCUCUUUCAUUCUUAUGACAGCAGUUCAUUUGUUUAAAGGUCUUGAUUUUUAAGCCUACUUUCCCCAGUACUAACUCCUUGUUACAAAGGCUGGAUCUGUUCUGCUUCACGCCAUCUUCCUCUGGCAUUUGAUUUCUCUUUUCUCCACAGCUCAUUGAGUACUGCUGAUUUUCAGAUACCAACCAUUCCCUACCUCCCCGGGGAAAUUCUUGCCUUCUGCAUGUACGUUCCCAGAAAUAUCAUCUCUGACUCACUCUGAUUACGAAAUGCUGAAGCCAUUUCCCCCGCUACUUCUACUGAGUGUCAUCGUUUAUUCACCUUUUGUCCCCAGGUAUAUUUUAUAAGGACUUAGAAGAGUUCUUUAUAUGAGGAAUUUGAUGCAGUACUGCAAUCACCCAUUGCAUAUUCUUCCCUUAUAGCACAUCUUUCAUCUUUACUUGUUCUCUGUUGGCACUAUACUGUUAUAAUUAGGCUCUGUAAACAAAUCUCAAGCUCCUCUGACGUUGUGAAACUCUCAGAGUUGAUUUCUGACCAUCCUGUUCCUCAAAUAAACCUUGACUCUGCACUGCAGGCAUCUUACUAACAUUCCCUGGUGAUCAGGAUUGAGGCAGUGAGUUCACCAGCUCUCUGGGGUGGUGGUGAACUCCAGUGAGCAGGGUGCUCUCUGCCUAGGACCAGGCUGCGGAUUCUUUCACGUAGCCUUGUAUCCAAGUGUAAGUCCCAGGUCUAUUUCCUGGUCUGUUAGCAAGUGAGAACAGGCCUUUGAAAAAGGGCAUGUGUGCGUAUGAUACAGAUUCACAAAUUGCUUGCUUGCACAUAAAUAUCUGUGCACUAAUGCAGGUGUGUGCAGGUGGGCAAAACGUACUGCAAAAAAGUUAUAUAUGCAUGAAUGAACAUGCACAUGGGUGUUAUUUUAGCUAAGGAAAUACCACAUGAAGAAUGCUUUGUUUCAGCUGCUCUGGAUUUUUCUUUCUCUAUUUUUACGCACCUUGUGUUAGAUGAACAUUUUUUAUAGCCUGAUCUUUUAAAAAUUGGAUUUAUUAAGGCAUGUAAUCUUCAAAAAUCCACUUAAGAUUGAUAAUGCAUAUUACAGCCUAAACUUUUGUAAUCUAUUAUUUAGGAAAAUAUCAGCUCCAAGCAUGCAGAUCUUGAACUUCUUACAGUCAGGAUUCAAAGUGGCAGGUUCAAUCAGGCUGCUCCAUGUAACAUGACCUGGUUUCCCCAUCCAUCUCACCCUGACAAUCCCCAUUAUCUGUGAGGAAAGAACCAGAUGCCCUGGAUUGCCAGCUGAGACUAGCUGAGAGCAUUGGGGCGCUAAUCCAUCACUGCACGCUGCAGCCGCCACCCAGCCAGGCACUGACGUUGCCACCAGUGUCGUGCAUUUACAUCCAGCGGUCAUGAGACCUAGUUGUUACCAGUAACUUCUACCAGGGUUACAGGAACUUCCUUUCAGGCUUGGCCUUUUUCCUCCGAACCCUUCAGGGGAGGCUCUGCCCCCACAACAGCAUCCCAGCUCAUCUCAUUACUCACUAAGCUCUUUUUCUGGUUAGCCGACAUCUGCCCAUUUCCAAUUAAUCCUUGUUCACAAGCUCAAUAACCUGAGCCAUCUGUAUAGGUAAGAGAGAUAAGCUUCCCAUUAAACAUUUACAGGACACAACAAGAGAGUACUGAAGCAACAGUUGCUGAGACAACCCAGGUGGGGUGUCUGCGUGCAGGGAAGUUGCUGACCCUGCGCCUCUUAACUGCCACGCUGUAAUCGAACGAGAAAAAUAUAUGGGUCUAAAAAUGUAUGUGAACCAUCAUGCACCCCCAAAAGGGUAUGUGCUCCUCUCACUCACAUCCAUGAAUGUUCUUGCUACAUUAGUAUGAUAAAGACUUUUAAAAUAAUUCAAUAGCAUUCUGAGCCGUGGAAGUUGUAGCAACCAAAUAGCCUUUAAAUAAAACAUUCAUUACUUAAGCAGCAGCUCUGAUGCCCUUUAACCUCAAAUGCUUAAAAUAGCUCAGAAGUCAGUCUGACCCCCAGUUCAGCUUUCCCGAACAGGGUGAAACGCGUCGUUAAUCCUAGGCAGAGACAUUAUCUUUGUCCCCACACUUCAUCAGUUACUGUCCUUGUUUUGAAAGAGCAUUUUUGUUCCAAAAUUUUGCUCGGAUGGGGUUUUAUCUCGCAGAGUGCCUCUGUCCUUUUUCCCACUCAAGGUUUCCAUCUCUGGGGCAGCACAGAGAACACGAUCCUUUGCCCAUAUAUCCCAUUCCCCCAACAGCAAUGAGUGGCAGCAGGGGGGUGAAGUCCUGCCUAAAAACCUUUCGGAAAACUGAUGUGUCUCAGGAAUGAAGCCAGGGCGUUGGCAAAUGUUUAAGUCUGCCUCCCAGUCCGGGGUGGGGGCUGGCAGAUAAUCGCUUGUAAGGGUGUAAAGAGUUUAAGGGGCCACCAAAGGGGAGAGGGUGACUCCUCUGCUCCCUCAGCACCGAGGCAACACACAAACAACUGGGGCAGAAAUCUUCUGAGCUUUGAGUGAAC